CCUACGGGUGGCAGCAGUGGGGAAUAUUGGACAAUGGGCGAAAGCCUGAUCCAGCAACGCCGCGUGAGGGAUGACGGCCUUCGGGUUGUAAACCUCUUUCAGCAGGGACGAAGCGCAAGUGACGGUACCUGCAGAAGAAGCACCGGCCAACUACGUGCCAGCAGCCGCGGUAAUACGUAGGGUGCGAGCGUUGUCCGGAAUUAUUGGGCGUAAAGGGCUCGUAGGCGGUCUGUUGCGUCGGAAGUGAAAACUCAGGGCUUAACCCUGAGCCUGCUUCCGAUACGGGCAGACUAGAGGUAUGCAGGGGAGAACGGAAUUCCUGGUGUAGCGGUGAAAUGCGCAGAUAUCAGGAGGAACACCGGUGGCGAAGGCGGUUCUCUGGGCAUUACCUGACGCUGAGGAGCGAAAGUGUGGGGAGCGAACAGGAUUAGAUACCCCAG
rnacentral:rRNA from 1 species